rnacentral:rRNA from 1 species
GAUGAACGCUGGCGGCGUGCUUAACACAUGCAAGUCGAACGGAAAGGCCCAAGCUUGCUUGGGUACUCGAGUGGCGAACGGGUGAGUAACACGUGGGUGAUCUGCCCUGCACUUCGGGAUAAGCCUGGGAAACUGGGUCUAAUACCGGAUAGGACCACAUUUUGGAUGGUGUGGUGGAAAGUUUUUCGGUGUGGGAUGAGCUCGCGGCCUAUCAGCUUGUUGGUGGGGUAAUGGCCUACCAAGGCGUCGACGGGUAGCCGGCCUGAGAGGGUGUACGGCCACAUUGGGACUGAGAUACGGCUCAGACUCCUACGUGAGGCAGCAGUGGGGAAUAUUGCACAAUGGGCGCAAGCCUGAUGCAGCGACGCCGCGUGGGGGAUGACGGCCUUCGGGUUGUAAACUCCGUUCGCUAGGGACGAAGCGUUAUGUGACGGUACCUGGAGAAGAAGCACCGGCUAACUACGUG